CUCACGCCUGUAAUCCCAGCAUGUUGGAAGGCCGAGGCAGGCGGAUCACGAGGUCAGGAGAUCGAGACCAUCCUGACUAACACGGUGAAACCCCGUCUUUAUUGAAAAUACAAAAAAUUAGCCGGGCGCCUGUAGUCCCAGCUACUUGGGAGGCUGAGGCAGGAGAAUGGUGUGAACCUGGGAGGCGGAGAUUACAGUGAGCCCAGACUGCGCCACUGCACUCCAGCCUGGGCGACAGAGCGAGACUCCGUCUCAAAAAA
rnacentral:lncRNA from 10 species